GAUGAACGCUAGCUACAGGCUUAACACAUGCAAGUCGAGGGGCAGCAUGGUCUUAGCUUGCUAAGGCCGAUGGCGACCGGCGCACGGGUGAGUAACACGUAUCCAACCUGCCGUCUACUCUUGGACAGCCUUCUGAAAGGAAGAUUAAUACAAGAUGGCAUCAUGAGUUCACAUGUUCACAUGAUUAAAGGUAUUCCGGUAGACGAUGGGGAUGCGUUCCAUUAGAUAGUAGGCGGGGUAACGGCCCACCUAGUCUUCGAUGGAUAGGGGUUCUGAGAGGAAGGUCCCCCACAUGGGAACUGAGACACGGUCCAAACUCCUACGGGAGGCAGCAGUGAGGAAGAGUGGUCAAGGGGCGAGAGCCUGAACCAGCCAAGUAGCGUGAAGGAGGACUGCCCUAUGGGUUGUAAACUUCUUUUAUAAAGGAAUAAAGUCGGGUAUGGAUACCCGUUUGCAUGUACUUUAUGAAUAAGGAUCGGCUAACUCCGUG
rnacentral:rRNA from 1 species